GUAAAUAGAGUAUAAAGCAUAAGAAAGUAAAAAUGAAAGACAAAGUAAAUAAAAGUAUAUAAGAAGAAUCAAGUCAAAUUUUUAAUCACUUGAAAACAUACUUUAAGGAUGAAAUUAGUGCAAGAUUAUAUUUAAAUAGAAGGAGUUUAUUUGAAAAGAAUUGAUUUUGAUCAUUAACAUGCUUGUUCUUAAUAUUUUAAUGCAUGACUUAACACAUAAUAUAUUUUGCAUGUGGCAUGAUGUUUUGAAUUAUGGGUUCUCAAUAUUUUGUAAUGCUCCAUACUUGGUUAAUUUGAUUGAAUGUUUGAAAUACUAUAUGAAGUUAUUUUAUGGUAUUAUUGAAAAGAAAUUUUAGAUUUGUCGUUCACAAUCAUCUUUGAAAUCUGAAAANNNNNNNNNNNNNNNNNNNNNNNNNNNNAAGUAUAUCUCUAUUUUGGCAAAAUGAAUUGAUUUUGUUUUAUCUUUCAACUUGCCUAACUUUGGUAUAUAAUGUUCUAAUUCAUACCAAAACUCAACAUAAAUACAAAUAUUCUGAAUAUGCUCUUAUAUGUUUGAAAUAUGUAUUUUCAAUCGUAAUGAUUUAAGAUGAGCUAUAAUGUGAAAGAUACAUAUCUCAAAUUAUGAUUUUGAAAGCCUCUAUUGAAAAUCUUUAUGAAAUUCAGAAUCUGAUUUUGUAUAAAAGCUUAAACUCAAUAUGAUUUAGUAAAUAAAAACUACAGUUUAAGAAAAAUAGAAUAAUUCUGAUGCCUUGAUUGUUUGCCCCGAUACGCAUCUGAAACAUAUCAUUUCUUAUCUUUAAAGUGUACUAAUAUUGGUCUAAAUGAUGUGUCUUUCGAUGAUCUUGAUUACAAACAAAUAUUUUUAAAUAUAUUAUUUUAUUUUGAUAUUGAAAAGAUUUAUUAUGCUUCAUGUAUACAUUGCUGAAAAACUAUGAUUAAGAAAUUGAGUUCUAUAAAUAUAUAUACCUCAAUGAUCAUCUAUAUGUUUUUCUCUCCUACAUUCUUAAAGACUUCCAUCAAAAUAUAUAUAUAGAGUAAAUGAUCUUAAAGCUAGAAAUAUUUCAGCUCACUCAAAUGAUUCUUAAAAGAAAGAAAAUGUAAAUGCUUUUGAAAAAAAUUGAGCUUCAAAUGAAUCAUUUUCUGAUUAAUAUUUAUAUACAUUUUCUCUAAGAUUAAGAGAAAGCAUAACUUGUUCUUGAAGGAUUAGAAAGAGUAAUUGCUACAAAUUUUGAAUAAUUCUAGAUCACUCUACAUUCUCGAUAUCAUAGAAUUUCAGUUCUAUUCACGCUUGUCAUCAAAAUCUGAAAUUCAACAAAGAAAAGAAUGAUUAAAAGAAGAACGCAUCUUUUGAGGGGGAGCUUUAGAUAUUCAAUCUAAAUGCAAAAGGUUACAUCCAUUUGAUGAAUAUCUUGAAUGUUUUAUGGAUUGAUUUUGAAAAACCUCCUUGUGUUGCCAUUAUUUGUCUUAAUUCUAUAAAGUUCGUCCUAUCUCAAACAUUAAGCUUUAUAGAAAUAUACUCUCAUUAGUGUAAGCCGUGCUGAAACUUAUAGAAAAAUAUAUUUUCGAGAUUGAAAAUUUUAUUGAACAUUAUCUUCAAAUUCUAAACUCUUAAAUGGAACGAUCAAUUAAGGAGGAGAAAAAAAAUUUCAGAAGAAAAGAUCAUAUGGAACCUAAUCGCAUAAAUCCAUAACUAA
rnacentral:lncRNA from 1 species